rnacentral:rRNA from 1 species
GAUGAACGCUAGCGGCAGGCUUAAUACAUGCAAGUCGAGGGGCAGCAGGGGUGUAGCAAUACACUUGCUGGCGACCGGCAAACGGGUGCGGAACACGUACGCAACUUACCCUGAACUGGGGGAUAGCCCGGGGAAACCCGGAUUAAUACCCCGUAACACUGUGAGGUGGCAUCACCUUAUAGUUAUAGCUCCGGUGGUUCAGGAUGGGCGUGCGGCUGAUUAGGUAGUUGGUUGGGGUAAUGGCCCACCAAGCCUACGAUCAGUAACUGGUGUGAGAGCACGACCAGUCACACGGGCACUGAGAAACGGGCCCGACUCCUACGGGAGGCAGCAGUAAGGAAUAUUGGGCAAUGGAGGCAACUCUGACCCAGCCAUGCCGCGUGGAGGAUGAAGGCCCUCUGGGUUGUAAACUUCUUUUACCUGGGACGAAACCUUUCUUUUCUAAGGGAGUUAACGGUACCAGGGGAAUAAGCACCGGCUAACUCCGUGCCAGCAGCCGCCGUAAUAC